rnacentral:ncRNA from 1 species
GUACCAAUAUCCGCAGCUGGUCUCCAAGGUGAAGAGUCUCUAGUCGAUAGAAUAAUGUAGGUAAGGGAAGUCGGCAAAUUAGAUCCGUAACUUCGGGAUAAGGAUUGGCUCUGAAGAUUGAGAUAGUCGGGCUUGAUUGGGAAACAAUAACAUGGUUUAUGUGCUCGUUCUGGGUAAAUAGAGUGUCUAUCAUUUAUGGUGGUUACUUGUUCCCCGGAUAGUUUAGUUACGUAGCCAAUUGUGGAACUUUCUUGCUAAAAUUUUUAAGAAUACUAAUUGGCUCAAACCGAUUAGUUCUUAUUAAUUAUAACGAUUAUCAAUUAACAAUCAAUUCAGAACUGGCACGGACUUGGGGAAUCCGACUGUCUAAUUAAAACAAAGCAUUGUGAUGGCCCUAGCGGGUGUUGACACAAUGUGAUUUCUGCCCAGUGCUCUGAAUGUCAAAGUGAAGAAAUUCAAGUAACGGCGGGAGUAACUAUGACUCUCUUAUCCUUUGACUCUUAUGACUCUCUGGUCCUUUUUGCGGAAACUCCGAUGGGCCUUCAAAAAUUGUUGGACAAAACAGUUGACUUUUUGUCUUCUGUGGGACUCGACCUAAAUGCUAACAAGUGUUUCACUGU